rnacentral:lncRNA from 1 species
AACUUCAGCAUGGGAACCACGCUACAAAGCCAUUAGACAAUGAAGCUACUCUUCCAUUAUCAUUGUUUCUUUUCUCUUUUGGACCUCCUCUCUCUUCUCCCUACAGGUUGACUUAUUUAUUCACUUUAUGCAUGACUUCUAAUUGCCAUUCACUUCUGAAUAUCAUUUUCCCCCAUUUCCUUGCCCUCUACUAACCUGUCAUGUCCCCCCCCACACACACACACACCCUUGCAGUGUAUAUUCAAAUUUCUGAAAGGUAGAAGAUAAUUAACUCAGCUUAUAAUGAUUACUUUUGAGACAAGGCUAAGCUAUAGGAUACUGGUAAACCUUGGGCUUGGCUAGCAUUCCAUCAGAUAUCCACUUUGGUCUCUUCAGAAAUGGCCAGGGAUGAUGGAAAGCAUAUAACAUCAUUGUUAAGGGAUGAUGUACAAAUAGAUUUCUUUAGAAAGUAGUGGAUUUGAGCCAAACAUUCUCAAUUAUAUUAGAACACGUACAAAGAUAGUUGUUCAAUAUACUUAUUGUAGCAUUUUUUAAUAUUCCCCACCCACCAAUAUCAUUUUUUGUCUCAAGAUCCUUGUUUUAAUAACAUUUGUGAAGUCCCUUUCUUUCAGAUUUAUACUGUAUAAUCAAAGUCUUUUUGUCACUUGUAGUACGUAGUUUAUAAAGUCUUGUUGGGGAGUCUAAAGUAUCAUUCCUACAACUUUAUUUCACACAAUACCUUAGACUUCUUUUCCUUAUUCUAGAUAUAUGAUGUAACUGAAAGAAUUCAGUGUCGGGAAAGUUGAGUAUAAUACUUGAUGACAUUGCUAAACUAAAAUUAUACCUUAGAGCAACUGAUCUGACACCUUUAGACCUGUUUCCUCAUUAAUAAAAUGAGAUUAGCCUAGGUUAUUUCCAGAAACCCAUCUAUCACUAUCAUUCUGUGGUCAUUAAAAAUAUUCCAUCUUAAGCUGGGUGAUGUGGCACAUGUCUGUAAUUCCAGUGACUUGGGAGGCUGAGACAGGAGGAUUACAAAUUCAAAGCCAGCCUCAUCAAUUUAGCUAGGUCCAAAGCAACGUGGCAAGACCUUGUUCAAAAAAAAAGAAUUAAAAGGACUGUGGAUAUGGCUCAGUAGUUAAGCACCCCUGGGUUUAAUCUCCAGUCACCCCCACCAAAACCAAUCUAUUUUAAAAAUGACUCUGGGGACUAAAACUAAAAUCUAGGCUAAGAAUUUUAUUGAACCAUAAGAAAUUUCUGAUUUUCAACCCACCAAAAUGGCAGUUUUUUAUGGUUCAUAUUAAAAUAUCAGGUUUUGAAGUAUGUAAAUAUUCAGUUUGUAUAGUUAUAGUAAUUUGGCAUCAUAUAUGUAAAUACAUGUAAUUUUUAAAAAAUUUCUUUCUCUAAUUUAUUAAGCCUUUCUGACAUCCAAUAUCAGGAUAUGAAUGCUGCUCAUGGAGGGAUGUUCUUACCAUCAAGAACAAUCAAUACUACUUUCUUCUAUCCCAUUAAAUGUUACAAAAAGUGCACAUUUUACUGUGUUUCAUAUGCAG